CCUACGUGUGGCAGCAGUGAGGAAUAUUGGUCAAUGGGCGCAAGCCUGAACCAGCCAAGUCGCGUGAGGGAUGACGGUCCUAUGGAUUGUAAACCUCUUUUGUCGGGGAGCAAGGCCCGCCACGUGUGGCGGGAAGGAGAGUACCCGAAGAAAAAGCAUCGGCUAACUCCGUGCCAGCAGCCGCGGUAAUACGGAGGAUGCGAGCGUUAUCCGGAUUUAUUGGGUUUAAAGGGUGCGUAGGCGGGUUAUCAAGUCAGCGGUAAAAUCGUGGAGCUCAACUCCAUCCAGCCGUUGAAACUGAUGAUCUUGAGUGGGCGAGAAGUAUGCGGAAUGCGUGGUGUAGCGGUGAAAUGCAUAGAUAUCACGCAGAACUCCGAUUGCGAAGGCAGCAUACCGGCGCCCGACUGACGCUGAAGCACGAAAGCGUGGGUAUCGAACAGGAUUAGAUACCCGGGUAGUC
rnacentral:rRNA from 1 species